rnacentral:tRNA from 1 species
AAAGGUAUAGCUCAAGUGGUAGAGCGCAUGCCUAGCAUGCACGACGUCCUGGGUUCAAUCCCCUGUACCUCCU